CUGGGCAUUCCUGGGCCCUGAGCUCUAGCCCUAUCGCAGCGUCAGCGCCCCCUGUGCCCAAAGCUUCUCCCACGGGCUCCUGAGCUCCGGUCAGGCAGCGGCCGCAGUGGUGUACUGAGUAGUGGGGCGGGGGGGGAAGAGGUCACCCUCACCCUCACCCUCACCCUCAGUAACACCGUGGCCUUGUGUCUCACUAACUAGCAGUGCGUCACGACUCACAGGGCAGCUCUAGAAACCACAUUUGCAGUGUUGCUUACUCUUGUGAUUUUAUUGCCCGUCUCAGAAGGUUAGGUAUUUAAAGCCCUAACUCCUGGAUUUAGGGUAUUACGGGAGUAUCUCAGCUUUUUUAUUUUCAAGGUGUUAGCCCUCCAGGUUGCAGAGGAAAAGCUUGAAAACAUAUAUCGUAUUGAUUAUGACACAGAAGACAUAAGAAGAACCUCAAGAGGAUUUUUUUCUUCUUGUGGAACACAGCACAAUCUUGUGCAAAUCAUCUCUAAAAAACAAACAAGGCAGCAAAAACGAAUUUGCAUUGUGGCUCAUCAACGUGCAGGGGGGAAGAAUUUUAAGUGGUAAUGAGUGAGGUACAGGCAGACAUUUCAGUCAUAAAUUAGCUGUGAACCCAAAAGGGGUCAAAUAACUUGCACCCUACUAGAAGCAGCACAUUUUAGUCCACACUGAAAUGUCAGAUCUGAGUUUACUCUCAUAUAAUCUCAAUAUCUUCUCCAUCCCCAGUUCCUACCCCACCUCCACCUUCAGCCCAACCUCUGCUGCUGCUGAGGAAGGCUUGGCUGUUCAGUAAUGGGGCGGGGGGGACAUGGACACAUUCUGUUAAUGGUAAAGGGGGGCAUGACUGGAAAAGUUUGUGCACCACUGAAUUAGAGAUAGGUUUAAGCCCCAAAGCAUACGUUUUAAUGUCCCUUACAAUAUUUAUACUAUUAUUUACAAUAACUCUGGAUAUUCGUAUUAUCCAUAUAAUUCUCCAGUCUCUUAUUGAAUCUUAAUAAGUUCUUGGCCUCAACAACUUCCUGUGGCAAUGAGUUUGAGAAUUAUACAUAAUGUGAAAAAUAUUUCCUUUUAUUGGUUUUAAUUUUCCCAAUUUUUAAUUUAAUUCAAUGGCCCCUUAUUCUUAUCUUAUGAAACAGGGAGAACAGAAGCUCCCAAACUACCUUCUCUAGACCAUUAAUAAUUGUAUGUGUUUUAUCACAUUCCCUUUUAUUCAUGUCUUUUCUAUGUUAAACAAUCACAGUCUUUCUAAUCUCUUUUCCUAAGAGAGCUUUUUCAUGCCCUUGAUCAUUCUGGUCACUUUUCUUUGAACCUAUUCCAAGUCUGCAAUGGUCUUUUAGAGAUGAGGAGACCAGCACUACACUCAGUAUUCCAGCUAAGGCCACAUCAUUGAUUUAUGUAAAGAGAUAAUUUCUCAGCCUUUAUAAUGUGCUCAUAGUAUCUAUUGUGUGGCACCUGGACUCGUCAGAGCUUGAGAAGAAUGGCAGCAUCUAGAAGUCUGAAUAUGCCAAAUCUCAUGGACAGAUGACUUAUCCCUAUCACUGAGUUGACAUGAAUGUGGCUAUUAUUCCUUAUUCAGUAUACAAAUAUCACUCCCACUGAUGCUAAUGGGAGAAACACGCACACACGGGGACGUUUCAGCUGUUUUCUUGAUUAAGAGCCAACCUAUAAUGGAGGAUCUUCAUUUCUCUUUCAUUUGAAUCACCCUCCUGCAGUUUAUCUACAUCCUUCUGGUAAUGGGGUGGCUAGAACAGAAUGGAAUAUACAAUGGCAACAAGGCAGAGAGUGUGGAGAUCUGAAGGCACAAGACAAUGAUCAGAUCUGGACAAGGAUCAACAAGUUCUGGAGCAAACUGCAGUGCUGCAGCAUGUCGUUUAGGUGAUAUAUAUGGACUGGGCAACGUGAACUGCCAGACUGAUGUAGAGUUUAGAUCCUGAUGCUGCUCUUCCCUGCUCUAAUAUGAGGAUCUGAAGCACAGAGAGACUAAAUAACUUACCCAAGGUCACACAGGAAGUCUGUGACAGAGCAAAGCUGGAUCUCCCAAGUUCUGGGCUAGUGCCCUAAUAAUUGGACCAGCCUUCUUCUCUAACCAUUAACUUAAGGUUUCGCCUAGAGGAAUUCUCUAUGUUUUGAAUCUGAUUACCCUGUAAGCUUAUCGUCCGCAGCCCUUUCCAUAAUGAACACUGCUAGCACAUGAACAAGGAAACGUCCACUGCUUGUCUCUUCAUGGUGACUCCAGGAUAAUGACCUGUGAUUGAUGUCUCUGGGCCCUAUACAGUGAGGAUCUGAAUGGGUUUCCAGAGGUGUUCAUCACCCUCAGUGCCCAUACACUUCAACAGGGACUUGAGGUGCUUGGCACGUGGGAAUUGCCAUAUGGGAUCGGACCAGUGGUCCUUCUGCUCCUGUGUCCUGUCUCCAACAGUGUUCAGUCAAAUGGAUUUCAUAGCCUGUUAAAUGAGGUUAGGUCACAAUCAGACAAAUAUUUUAAAAACUGGGCUCACAGUGUAGGGAGAUGUUCAGGGUAACAUCAUUGGAUGAGGUUUCCAGGAGAUCAUUCAACAUUGAAAACAUCUGAAAUUUUUUGUUGUCGACUUGGGACUUCUAAAGGUCUACUUUUUCAGUAAAGGCAUUCAUUUUGUUGUUGAGUUUCAGAACGUUUGUUUCAUUUUCUUGUAGUAACUCAUUCAGUGAAUUUAAAUAAUCAAAAAUAUCUGCUAGAUAUGCAAGUUCUACCAUCUAUUUGAUGUCACUUAAAUGCUUCUUCAGGGUAGAAUCCACUUCGAUCAGAAACAAACGCAUCUCAUCUCUCAAUUCAAACAGACAGGUUAGAACUCUUCCCCGCAACAGCCAGCAAACCUCUGUGUGCAGUAACAUGUGCUGAUGUGCCAAUCCCGUUUCUCCACAGAGACUUGUGAAAAGUCAGGAAUUCAGUGACUUUGCUUUAAUAAAAUUAACAAUGGCUACAGCUUGAUUCAAAAUUGAUUUAAGAUAGGGAUAGCCUGAGACUGGGGUUGUAUUAGUUUUGAUGGAAUAAAUGGUACUAGAGAGUCAAAGGUGUUAACAUGACCCUGUCACUGUACAACAUUAGCAGAUUUCAACAAGCUUUGGGAUUUUAAAUAGAGAUAUCGGUCUAUUUAGUCCCAUGGCAAACACACCUUUAAAAAUCCUUUUAACUAUUUAUUGAAGAUACAGAAAAGGGAAGAAAAACAGUUAAAGCAUUUGAAAUGUUAAGUAUUAGGUAAGGCUUUUAUUUCAACAACAUCUUUUGUUGCCUUUUCCUUUAACUGUAGAGAGCCUUUAGAAGGAAAAAACCUUGCUUGACAGUCUCUUAGAUGGUAUUAAAGAUGGUAAUAACUGUCCUUUUUGGGGAUGGAAAAAAGGGUAUUUGAGAUGGGCUGGCACUGUUAAAGAUUGAUUCCAUUUCCUAAAAGACAAGCAAGACAAACUCAAACAAGGGGGAAGAGAAAAGAACAGAACACCAAAGAGAGAGAAAAUGCAGCUUCUCUAUCAAGUGUUCACUUUCACCUGCACCCUCACUGCUAGAUAAAUGCAGGCAUAGCAUGUGGUCUUAUCAUUCACUCAGGAACCAGGCAAACUUGUAGCAGCAUCAGGCUGUUUAAGACAUUACUUUGAGCUGCCUCUUUGGUCACUGUGUUGCCAACUAUGCAGACUUGGCCACCUAAGCCUGAUUUUUUUUUUUAAACGAAAGGGAAAAGGAAAGAAAUAAAGUGGGAGAAGGAAAAGCACUCACAUGGAGGGAUGACAAAGUCUCUUAUCCCACAUAGUAUUUGGGAGUUAGCCAGAGCUGAUGAAGGUGGUGAUUGUAUCUGACUCCUUUUCUCUGGCCUAGUCUGGUCAGGACAUCUCAGGAUCAGGGUGACUAAGGCCCAACGGUCUCAAGAUGGAUCCUGGGGUCCCAGGAGAUGGUGGGGGUGGCAGCCUUGAUGGUGAAGCUUAUUCUGUACACCUGUCUCCUACCCAGCAUUUGUUGUCAAACAGCCUGCUUCUCCCCAAAAGUAUUUUCUUCUAAGGACCUCAGAAAGGAGUGAUGGGCUCUCAUCAUUAUAUUCACCAAUUAGGCCUAAUUUCUGACACACCAAUUUUGGUUCAUUGAUUUCUGCUCUCAUACACCUCCUGUUUACCAGACAUGAUCGUAACGUUGUCCUUGAGUUAUAUCAAUAGGCCUUUUUGUUUGGACUAAUUCAGUCUUUGUCUCUCUUUUGCACCUUUUCCCAUCAACAUUUGUUUGGCUAGGUUAUUGUGACAGUUUAUGAACUUUUACUCACUUCUCACAGUUGCAUUCACAGUUAGGGUAAAUUUGUAUGCCUCAUUAUUACAACACUAUGAAAAUACUCUUGUUUUGAGUUCUGUUUGUGAUA